rnacentral:rRNA from 1 species
UACAGAGGUGGCAAGCGUUGUUCGGAAUCACUGGGCGUAAAGCGUGCGUAGGCGGUUCGUUAAGUCUGCUGUGAAAGCCCUGGGCUCAACCUGGGAACUGCAGUGGAUACUGGCGAGCUAGAGUGUGAUAGAGGAUGGUGGAAUUCCCGGUGUAGCGGUGAAAUGCGUAGAGAUCGGGAGGAACACCAGUGGCGAAGGCGGCCAUCUGGAUCAACACUGACGCUGAGGCACGAAAGCGUGGGGAGCAAACAGG